CUCUCGUCGUCAUCCGGCGCGAAAGCGGAUGUCCGAUGGCAUCGCUCUAUAGUAGCGACCUUUAAUUACAACAGACGAGGGGAUCCCACUUUGGAUCAACUGUUCGGAAAAAAGUAUCCGGACGCGCUGGAAAUAUUGAACCAUGUUAAUUCCUUUUCAGAACAAUUCAUAUAUUUUAAUCCGUUCUAUUCUCGUACGUGCGGGGACGUGCCCGUCCUUUGUCCUACAUCCUAUUUUCAUCCCGAGAACCCUCUCCUCCGUCUCGCAGAGCGGUACCACCUGAGGAGCCAUCAUUUCUACGUAGUCACGUCUUUUUAUCGGUCCGCUAUUAUUACCGCUAAUUAUCUCUUCCUUCCUCGCGAACUCGCUGCACUCGGACGCGGGAGUGUCUCCUCGCUCGCGUCGGCCGCAGCCUCUCAGGGUCGUCUACUUUCCGGUCCUGGUGGAAACCGACCGACGUCGGCUCGUCUCGACGAUUCUCGAUCUCCGAGCGGAUCCUCGGAGAUGCCCGCACACGUGUCUCGCCGAUCGUUUCCUCCGCCGCCGGGGCGGAGCGAAGCGCGUUCACGUAUACAGGGUGUCCCGCAGGCGUCUGGCCGAUUCGAAGCCGAAUGGUUUCUGUCAACGGAAACGCCGACGGCAUCAUACACGCGAGCGUACCGCAUGUGACAUCACCGGACGGACGUCGUGUGUCGGAAGAGGCGACCUUUCCGCGCGAGGCGUCGCGCAAUGCAACGGACGCGAUAACAACGUCGACGUGUGCGUGUGUAAAGAGCAGUAGGGCGUUACGCAAACGCGAGUCUCUUACCUGCUGAGAGCUGAUGAGAGAGAGAGAGAGAGGCGCACGUGCACGCGUGUCGAGUCUCGACGCCAUUGAGAAGAACGCGCGCCGGGACGUACGGAGCUGAAUGCGCAGCGAUGAAAGAACAAAAAGGAACCUGGUCAAAGACCAGAGGGCCACCCUGGGUAAAUUUUCGUGAGGAUCCGGGAAUGACUGAGGAAUACAAACAUUAUUACUGUUUGAUCGUUCUGAUAUAAAUAUGAAAUAUUCAACCAUGCAUUAUUUAUAACUAGCGAUGUACAAAAUAUAUAUAUAGUCAAAUAUAUCGAAAACAGAUUUUGCAAAAUGUCGAAUCUGCUAUAGACUUUCCGCAGACGGCGGAAAGCCAACAGAAAUAUAAUAAAAAUCUGUUAACAGAGUAGAAUAUGAUAACAGAUUUAAUUGCAGAAAUUCAACAAAAUAUAUUUUCGUAAUCAUUUAAAUGAUAGGAUUUCAUUCUAAAUAAACAUACCGGCAUGUGCAUGCUACCACCAUGCAGUUGUCAACCAUCAUGCAAACACUAUAAUAUCUUGUUACUGAUCAUAUCAGCAGGCUAUGCUGAACAUGAGCUUAAUGAGAACGCAUGCUAAUCUAUUGCGCAAUAUUCUGCUCGAAUCUGCUAACGAACUGCAGUCAGCGUCCUGUACCAUUUCAUCACAUUUCAUCAUGAUGCUCGUCGCUCAGUUUUAGCGUCAAAACAGUUCAACACUCAUCGAUUUUGAUCUGUUGUUGACACUAAAAUGAGCGUUGAGCACAUAUAUAGAUAUUUAUCUAGUUAAAUUUCUAUGGUUGAGCGUCAGCAUGAAAAGGAUAUACAUACCAAUUUUUGCUCAACGGGAAUCAACGCGAAAGUGGUCAGGUUAGUAGGUAUACGAAUGUUUAAGAGUCCCGAGGGUCCCGAGAACUGAAUACGCACAAUCGAACGGUACGUUGAUGGAAUCAUCGUUUGUCAGAUCCUUAAAUCUAUAAUGGAAAGAAUAUUUGUCUUGCAUUUCUACAAUCGGAGAGUAUUCCUCGGGAAUAAAUUUGAGCGAGUUAUAAUUACGUGUAUAAUGUAUAAUGGUGUGAAGCAGUAAACUAGCAAAAACAGAAUUUUCCUGAUGAUCCGAAAUCGAAAGUAAUAAAUAGCGUCGCUAAUCGAUGUUUUACAUAUAUUUAGAAACAAAUUCCAUCCAUUUUAUUCGCCUGCAUCAUUUGCCAUACUCCCCCCGUAAAAUCUUUCUGCUAACUGAAGAGAAAUCUGUACUGCUGGUUCUGCAUUAUAUGAUGGCAGAUAAAAUCGGUGGGUAAAAACGGAACGUAUCGCAACGUCGAUAAAGUAACUCGCCGAAGGUACCGACGCGCGUUUCGCUUAUCGUCCGAUGGUACAUGUAAGUCGAAUGUAUGUAGCGGGUGUAUCUGCAUAUUCAAUCAUUGUUGAUGCGUCUACUGUUACGUAAGACGAGAACUCGGACUCUCGCAUAAUGCAUGUGAAUAAUUUAUAAAAGGUUUCGAAAGGUCGACGAAUUCUCCACGAUCUACUGAGUUAUAAUCAAUAUGUAUAUGCGGACAGACCUUUGUCUUGCCAAGUUUUAUACCGCGGAUGAAUUCACGUUAAAAAAUAAAAGUCACUGUUGAAAUAUUUAUUUGUUUUUUUUUGUUAUAUUUCCACAUAUUUAAUUGACUUGACUUUUGCCGAUAAUCUGGCUGACUCAGAAGACUUUAUCUGCUCCCCAAAGAAUUAGGAAGUCUAUUCCUAUCUCAGAUUAAAUUAAUAAAAUCAAUGAAAUUAAGGAAUUAAUUCACCUAUAGAAAAAUAGAAAUUCAAAUCAAUAGACGGUAAUUCUUUAUACGACGCACUUCUGUCGACUCUAUAAAAAUUGAAUUUUUCAUACAUUUCAAUCACUUUUAUUUAUUCUACUUGUUGGAAAUUAUUCUUAGGACAAAACUCCGAUAAACUUAAUCGGUGGUUAAUUCAAUUGGUAAAAUAACUUGUGAAAAAUUUCCAAUUAUAUAUAAUUCAUCGUGUCUAAUCUUAUUUUUUUCAAAUGGCAAGGAACUGAUAAAUGCAUGUAUAAUAUGCACGAUAAGAAAUUAAACUAAAAGUCUAAAAAUAUCUUUCAUUUCGACAGAUUCGAAUAGAUCGACGUAUCGAUUUGUAUGAGAAACCAUUUCGUUAUCUGGCGUUCUUUCUCACUUGCUGAUAACGAGAAAGACUAGAUUCGAUGUAAAUGUCUCGCUGCCUGUAACUUCAUAAAUUAUGCAAAUGUAGAUAAUUAAUGUUUUCCAAUUAUUUAAAGAUAAUUAUGUUUUCCAUAGUUUUUGCUCGGAUUGCAGCAAAAUGAACAUUUCUAUCUUGACGUUAGUAUAACAUUCGUUCAUACCACUUGGACGAAAUUAAGUAAUCACGAGAGUUGAUAACUGAUAGCAAACGUUACUGAUUACGAAGUUGUUAUUCGCCACGCGUUAGAUCGCGCAAUGCAAUUUUUUUGUAAAGAUUUUAAAAAUGUGAGGCUAUAUUGUUGAUAUCAGAUACAGUAUUUGUACGCAAAAUAUACCUUGGGGAUUAGAUCGCGUAAUGUUAAGAAAAUAUAAAGAUAAAAAAAAAAGAAAUUCCCACACUCUUAGAUAAAAAGUAUUUUUUUUAAUUUCCGAAAGAUUUAAUUUCAUCCAAUCAUGUUUCUUUAAUGCAUGCAGAAUGAUUCAAAGUUAUUUUGAUGUUAGGCUUAAUUGUAAAUGUUAAAUUUUAUGAUUAAAAAAUCUUUUGAUUAAAAAAAAUUUAUUUAAAAAUUUAUACAGUUGUUUGACUGUAUGAAUAUGAAUCGAUUUAUCUGAUCAAUCUGUUAAAUUUGUCUGCUCCAUUAUUUCAUUCGGAAAACGACGUAUAAAUUUUAAAAUUUUGAAAUGCUACUACCAUCGAUGAUAACUUUGUACCAUCGAUUAUUUUGUCGAGUUGAAUAAUUGGCCCGAUCAUUAGCCAAUAUCAUUAUCUUGCCUUUUAUAUCUUUUACAUAGUCAUCGAGAAAAAUAUGAGGCAAUCGGCACAUUUGCGAAACGAAUGGUCCGAUUAAUGUUUUUAAGAUAAAUCAAACGGUCACGAUGGCGUGAAACCGAGGAAGUGACGUAACUGUAGCGACAAUCUUAUAUGCAUGUAAUUGAAUAUAAUAUAUGCUCAACGAAGCCUAGUUUUUUCCCGUAACCAUGUAAAUA